rnacentral:tRNA from 1 species
CUAGACAGACGGGCUUCGAUCCCGUGACAUCCUAGUUAACAGCUAAGCGCCCUAACCAGCAGGCUUCCGUCUAUCAAGC